rnacentral:rRNA from 1 species
GACGAACGCUGGCGGCGUGCUUAACACAUGCCAGUCGAACGGUGAAGGGGUCUGCUUUUGUGGGCCCUGGAUGAGUGGCGAACGGGUGAGUAACACGUGAGUAACCUGCCCCCUUCUUCUGGAUAACCGCAUGAAAGUGUGGCUAAUACGGGAUAUUCUGGGUCUGUCGCAUGAUGGGUCUGGGAAAGAUUGCGCCUUUGGGUGUUUUUGGUGGGGGAUGGGCUCGCGGCCUAUCAGCUUGUUGGUGGGGUGAUGGCCUACCAAGGCGGUGACGGGUAGCCGGCCUGAGAGGGUGGACGGUCACACUGGGACUGAGACACGGCCCAGACUCCUACGGGAGGCAGCAGUGGGGAAUAUUGCACAAUGGGCGCAAGCCUGAUGCAGCGACGCCGCGUGAGGGAUGGAGGCCUUCGGGUUGUAAACCUCUUUCGCCAGUGAAGCAGGCCUGCUCCUUGUGGGUGGGUUGACGGUAGCUGGAGAAGAAGCGCCGGCUAACUACGUG